rnacentral:rRNA from 1 species
UACGUAGGGGGCAAGCGUUGUCCGGAAUCAUUGGGCGUAAAGCGCGCGUAGGCGGCCCGAUAAGUCCGCUGUAAAAGUCCAGGGCUCAACCCUGGAAAGCCGGUGGAUACUGUCGGGCUAGAGUCCGGAAGAGGCGAGUGGAAUUCCUGGUGUAGCGGUGGAAUGCGCAGAUAUCAGGAGGAACACCGGUGGCGAAGGCGGAUCUCUGGGCCUGUUCUGACGCUGAGGCGCGAAAGCUAGGGGAGCGAACAGG